GAACCAUGUGGGGAAGUAUCAGAAGUCUUAGAAGCUGUCUACAUUUCAACAGCCAUGAAAGAUUUAAGUAAUACAAUGUAAAAAUGACACCAGGAGAUUAUACAUCCAUGGGGCCAUUUGGGCCAUGCACUUCAGAAUGACAAUCAUUGCCGUCAUGGCUGGCCUAUUGCCCUGCACAUGUCAGGGGGAACACAAAGAGUUUCUAAACCUGCAGUUGCUCCAAUUUCUUGUAUCCAAAACAAGCUGUAAGCAAAGAAGAGAAAUCCAUAUGAAGACCUGAGGUAUAAAGAUGCACCAUUAAAUAAUUUACUUGCUCUCUCCUCAAGAGUCAAAAUGAUGGGGAACCCGUAAGAGUCCAGAGAGAGGAAAAGAUGAUGCUUCCAGCAACGACAUCCUGCUGUGUCCCAAGGAGAAGGCAGGGAAGUGUGUGCUUGAUGCCCAGUGGGCUCAAUAAUCACAGCAGUAAAUGACCUCAUCUUCAUGUUUGUGAAAUUUACUUUCAAGGUUGAAGUGGAAGGAUGAGCAUCAUUGUAAGCCACAACACCUAAUGGACCCUGAGCAGGUGCGAUUGUCAACACACAUCCAAUGCCGACUUAGGUUUCAGCUGACACCAGUAUUUGACUUCAUUUUUAGUCUUGGCUGGAUAUUUUACAAGGUAUAAAAGCAUCCUUAUCUUUUGCCCUGGGUAUUUUAAAUUUGUGCCAACUUUAACGCCCUGAGAAUAACUGUAAGCAAAGAAAAUUAAUUCUCAUGAACACCUGAUAUGUAAAGAUGAAGUGAUAAAGAAUUUCUUCACCUGAUAUACAAAGUGAAAUGACUGGAGCAAACCCCAAGGUGAAUCCCUACAUGCUCCUGGUGCUGACAUGCUCUGGUCUGCCAGGCUGUGUUCCCAAGAAGAAGCAGGAAAGUGAGGAUGCCUGUGCCUAGAAUGUUUAGUGUGUGGCAAGGGUAGCUUGGUCUGAGCAGGUGUCAGGGAAAGAAGUAGUGGGUCACAGUGAUUCCCUGACAACCCUUUCUGUAGAGUGCAGCGUUGUCAGAUCUGAAAUGGCUGGCCCUCUAAAUACUCCAGUGCCCAGGAGAUCUGGCAAUAUGGUGAUGGUUAGAGGAGAACUCUUCCUAUGAAGGGUGAGGUGUGGGUGAGUGGUGACAGUGGCAAUUAACUUCAAUUUCUCUCCCCUUCCCUGUUGCCUCCUAUUUCGUUUUUCAGUAGCCCUAGUGAUAUGAGGAUAUGUGAUAUGUGGAUAUGAGGAUACAGUGAUAUGUAUUUUGUACUCAAAGCAAAAAUUACUCUUCCUGUGGGUUGAAUGUGGAUCUAAAACUCAAGGUUAUAAAACACCUGUAUUUCUCACUAUAUAAAAUACUGAAAAUUUGUGCUGAUUUUAUAACAAAUUUUAUAAAUGAAAAUAAAAGUACAUAUACGUGGACAAUUGAGUAUAUUUGUUUAAUUAAUUGGGAGGAUGCCAUCUAUUUCAGCCCCAGAGAGGCCAAAUAUCAGUUCAAUAUUGCUCUCCAGAAAUUAGAGAGGACACUAGACACAACCAUCCUAUGGAAAUGGGAUUGGCUUGCACUUGUACCAGACUGUGGAGCUUAUAUCUUGAACAGUUUGGCCCUUAGACUCCCACUCCCCACACCAUAGUAUGUAGGAGGGACCUUCUGAAAAGAGCUUCUGACGCAGUAGGCCUGGGCUGAGGCUUGACUGACUGGAUUUAAAAGAAGCUCCUAAGUGAAGCCAAUGCUGCUGGUUCACAAAUCAAACUUUGAGUACCAAGGACUUAGAGUAUUAGUC
rnacentral:lncRNA from 10 species